ACUCAAAUAUAAAAAUCUAGACUUAUUCAAAUCUAGAAGAAACCAUAAAUACUUAUGUUUCUCUCUUCCCUCAUCCGUGACCUUCCCCACCACAACCAUUUCCGCCUCAUUCACCACCAUCAUACACCUAACGCCGCUCAUUGUUCCCAUCACCACCCCACAUUUCCUCUCAAAACCCUAGAUGUCGUCGUCCCACCGCAACUCUGUUUUGUACGACAAUCGCAUCCACCAUCCAUAAGCCCUAAUGUUGGUGCACCGACCAUUCCCAAUAACUUGCGCCUGCCCCAAUGUUACCUGUUACAAAAUCGUGAAUCCCAGCUACUACAACCAAACACCGUCUCCGAACAUCCUCCACUCUUUAUCUUUGUCUCUAUCUAAAAACCACCGCACCACCACCAUUGUCGAACAUCCACUUUGUAUCUACUCAGUUUGAAUCUCUUUACCGGAAGCAAAAUAAGGUACCAAAAAAUUUGGUUUGGCUAAUAGGGGGAUUUAGGGCGCCGAUAGUUUCCAGUGUCCCAACUUUUGCAAAGGUAGAGGCGGAAUGGUGGGGAUUGGGGUUUCGUUGUACAACCACUUGGUCUGAUAUGGUGCCUCCUAUUAAUAUGUGGAAUCCUUCGUCAGCCACCACCUUCACUACUCUCCGCAACAAAAGCAGCCCUGGAAGCAAGCACUAAAACUCGGUUAAGAGGAGAAUUAGAUCAUGUUCGUGUUUCCCUUUCCAUUUCCUUUAUCCAUUGUACAUAAAAACCCUUAUUUUUUUUUUUGUUUUUUGUUGAAGGUAUUAUUUUAGUAUGAUGCUCAUGGCUUUUUCUAGGUUUACAGGUGCAUCUUUCUUAUUUUUAGUUGAAAGGGUAUACACAAUCAAAUUAUGAAAGGUACCAUGUGGAACCUGGAAGUUUCUGAAAUGUAGAAAUGGAGAUUAGGAAAGACUACCCAAAGCCUUGAUUAUCACAAGGAAGGAAGGUUACGGGAUGUUAAAGAGAGUGUACAUGCAAGAAAACUUAAAAGGACAUAACAAGGUUUGCUUUUUUCCAUAAGGACAUAAUAAGGUUUGCUUAGUUUCAUCAAUAUGUUUUUAUUGUGACAAGCAACUAAACCGGGCUGAUUUAAAAAUUCUUGUAGUCCAUUUCCUCAUUGAGAUGUUCAUGUUUUUUGUUUUUUAUUUGCCUUGCAUUAUCAUUCUAGCCCUUACCUUUUAUGUCCAUGUUUAGUUGAGUACAUUUAAGAAAAGUUUUGAUGAAAAUAAUGAGAUGAAUUCAAAUCUUAUAAAGCAAAAUUGUUAGGUUUUACACCUUAUUUUGUUGGUCUUCCAUUGCUUUCUUCUUUUCCACUUUCAAUAUUCCUAAUUUUUAUAUCCGAUUCAAUUAGGUAGAGAUGGAAGUAACCAAAAGUUCUUGAAUACAAUUCUUUUUUAAUUGAAUUUGUUUUUUUUUUUUCGUUUUUUUUGUAAGAUUUAGGGUCAGUUUGCAUAACAUUCUCUCAGUGAUGAACACUAUAAGUAGGUCUCCUUCCCCCAUUGUAUGUUUUCUGAAUAAUACAUAAUAAUCUUCGUAAUCCACCUAUCGUUCCCCUUUUUUUUACUUAUGUUUUUUGAUUGCUUCUCUUUUGAUUUGGUGAUGUCAGACCUCUGGAACCUGGAUUCAAAUGGUAUGUGAAACCAAUUCUAGAUUUUCACCCCUCAAAGUUUCAACUUUUUUGCUUAUAAUAUUUGAAAUGUUGCAAAAAGAGGUUCAAAAUAAAUGAGCUUGAAGUUUUAGUUAGGGAAUCACUUUCGAGCAUCGAUGAAGAUGUAUAGAUCGAUAUGCAUUGUUUCUUUCAUGGGGGUUGCAGGGGAUAUUUUAAAUUUGUGAAGUAUAAAUGUUAAAGCGGCAACACCUUUGCAUUUGGCUGCAAGUGAAAUACGUAUUGAAUGUAUUCAUUUACAUCAAGAGAAAUGUGUUGAGAAAAGAAACAAAAAAGUAAUAUCAAAUACUCCAUUGUGGGAUUUGUGUGAAAACUAUAUUGUUAGAGAUUAACAAAAUAACAUAAUCCAAAUAAAAUGUGCUAUUUGUUUUA